CAGUCGCCGCGGUAAUACAGAGGGUGCGAGCGUUAAUCGGAUUUACUGGGCGUAAAGCGUGCGUAGGCUGCUUUUUAAGUCGGAUGUGAAAUCCCUGAGCUUAACUUAGGAAUUGCAUUCGAUACUGGGAAGCUAGAGUAUGGGAGAGGAUGGUAGAAUUCCAGGUGUAGCGGUGAAAUGCGUAGAGAUCUGGAGGAAUACCGAUGGCGAAGGCAGCCAUCUGGCCUAAUACUGACGCUGAGGUACGAAAGCAUGGGGAGCAAACAGGAUUAGAUACCCGUGUAGUCCCUGUCUCUUAUAC
rnacentral:rRNA from 1 species